CUCUCUCUCUCUCUCUGGUAUAUGCUUUCAUAUAUCAAAUAUGCCUGGCUCCCUGUAUGCCAUUAGUAGAGCUCAACGUCGUAGCCGAUGACCUCCGCGGAUGGCGUAUGAGGAGCCAAGCAUAUCCAUAUACAUACAUAUUAUAUGGUCGAGAGUCGCGUCCUCUUACAACAAUAUCACUCGCUUUGUUUUCUUAUACCCCGUCGGGCGUAUCUGGGUUUAGGGUUACUGGGUAUACGUGUUUUAGCUAGUUGAUUUAUGUUGAGCUAACGUCUUUUAAUACUAGCCCGUUGGGCGUGUCUGGGUUUAGGAUUACUGGGUAUACGUGUUUUAAUUAGUUAAGCUAUGUUAAGCUAACGUUUCCCAACACUAGCUCGGGUUUAGGAUUACUGGGUAUACGUGUUUUAGCUAGCUGAGUUAUAUUGAACUAACGUUUCCGAGCAUUAGUCUGUCGGGUGUAUCUGGGUUUAGGAUUACUGGGUAUUCGUGUUUUAGCUAGCUGAGUUAUAUUGAACUAACGUUUCCGAGCAUUAGUCCAUCAGGUGUAUCUGGGUUCAGGAUUACUAGGUAUACGUGUUUAUAAUUAGCUGAGUUAUGUUAAGUUAACGUUUUCGAACACUAACCCGUCGGGCGUAUCUGAAUUCAGGGUUGCAAGGUAUAUGUGUUUUAAUCAGUUGAGCUAACGUCUUCUCGAGAAUUUCUCAUCAUUUUUCACUAUUGCAGGUAGCUAACCCUAGCUUCCAAAGGCUGAUGAAUAAAGCAAAAAAAAACCCUAAUUUCAAAGAUUGCAGCCCAAAGAACACUGACAUUGAAGAGAUGUGUACAAAUGUAGAAUAGCGAAGGAGUGGAAAAGGAAUGCAACCGAAGAUCUGAUUGGUUGAAUCUGAUCGUGUGGUGGUGCGAGUUCCAGAAGGAGGGAGUACGUGGAUCUGGCCACAGAGGAAAGAGCUGGGGAUUCUAUCUUAGGUAGAGUUAUUUGCAUAGGAUCUUAGCCCUGGUUAUAGCCAAUAUAUCUAUAAUGUAAUAAUAAUCUCUCUCUCUCUAAAUUUAUCUUAUUUUCUCUGUCAACCCUUCUGUCUCUCGAUCGUGUAAUUCCCGUGCCCGUACAGGCAAAACCGAGCGAAGAAGGAAUAAGGGGGCAAUAUGGGCAAUGUCUUUAAAAACAUUACUCGUUAUGAGUAUAAAAAGUUCGGAGGUAAAAUUUCGUUUAUUUUACCCUGAUUGUCUUAAUUAGGGUUGUUAUCGAACGAAUCUAUGAAAAUGAUAGGACCCAUAAGGGAAAAAAAUUA